rnacentral:rRNA from 1 species
GUGUCAGCAGCCGCGGUAAUACAGAGGGUGCGAGCGUUAAUCGGAAUUACUGGGCGUAAAGCGCACGUAGGUGGUUUUGUAAGUCGGGUGUGAAAGCCCCGGGCUCAACCUGGGAACUGCAUUCGAGACUGCAUUACUCGAGUAUGGGAGAGGGCAGCGGAAUUUCCGGUGUAGCGGUGAAAUGCGUAGAUAUCGGAAGGAACAUCAGUGGCGAAAGCGGCUGCCUGGCCCAAUACUGACACUCAAGUGCGAAAGCGUGGGGAGCAAACAGGAUUAGAAACCCCCGUAGUCC